UGCCCUCAGUUGACUCAGGGAGCCUUCACUACUACUGGUCAGAGUAUGGGUCAGACCUCUGUGGGUGCUACUAGUUCGGGUUCUCAUGGCAGUUUGUCAGGCAGGAGCAGCACAUAGCCGGGUCGUGGACAGAGAGGGCGUCCAGUGACCCAGGCCCAUCUUCAUGCUAUGACCCAGCAGGAGGGUCGCACUGCACCAAACGUCAUUAUGGGACGUACUGAGCCCUCGAGCGAGGAGGACACAGACAGGCAGCAGGGUUAGCUGCGGGAUUCACUUAUUUCAGAUUAGCCGAGAUUGCGUCCAGGCUCAAGAACUUGGGAAUCAGCGCUUCCGUUUUUGUCCGUAGGUUAUUACUUAACCUACCUUGUAUGAUAUCGGCUUAGUUUAGUGUUGCUCUGAUAAACCUUUCUUUUAAGUUUGAUGGAUGUUGUUGUUUGGUUUGUUGUUACUUACGGAGGAUUAUAUUGGGAUUUGAACUUUCUGGAUGUAAUAUAUGUGCUUGGAUUGUAAAUUCGAUAUAGUAGGUUGAGUAGAAGUUAUAGUUGAAAUCAUGUCCAGGUUUGUGAAAUUUUGGGUAGCCCAUUUUUAGGGGAGGUUCUGCCGAAUUUUCGGUAGGAUUUCGCUUAAAGUGGGCCCCGCAGGCUCGUAUCCAGGUAAGUGGGGCGAUUCCUGGGUCGGGUCCUGUC
rnacentral:lncRNA from 1 species